AUUGAACGCUGGCGGCAGGCCUAACACAUGCAAGUCGAGCGAGCGGCGGACGGGUGAGUAAUGUCUGGGAAACUGCCUGAUGGAGGGGGAUAACUACUGGAAACGGUAGCUAAUACCGCAUACCAUCAGAUGUGCCCAGAUGGGAUUAGCUAGUAGGUGGGGUAAUGGCUCACCUAGGCGACGAUCCCUAGCUGGUCUGAGAGGAUGACCAGCCACAUGUGAACGGAGACACGGUCCAGAAUCCGACGGUAGGCAGCAGGUGGGAAUAUUGCACAAUGGGCGCAAGCCUGAUGCAGCCAUGCCGCGUGUGUGAAGAAGGCCUUCGGUUUGUAAAGCACUUUCAGCGGGGAGGCGUUACCCGCAGAAGAAGCACCGGCUAACUCCGUGCCAGCAGCCGCGGUAAUAC
rnacentral:rRNA from 1 species